GUGCCAGCCGCCGCGGUAAUACCGGCAGCACGAGUGAUGGCCGCUCUUAUUGGGCCUAAAGCGUCCGUAGCUGGCCAGACAAGUCCGUUGGGAAAUCGGCGUGCCUAACACGUCGGCGUCCGGCGGAAACUGUCUGGCUUGGAGCCGGAAGACCCGAGGGGUACGUCCGGGGUAGGAGUGAAAUCCCGUAAUCCUGGACGGACCACCGAUGGCGAAAGCACCUCGGGAAGACGGACUCGACAGUGAGGGACGAAAGCUGGGGUCUCGAACCGGAUUAGAAACCCGAGUAGUCC
rnacentral:rRNA from 1 species